GUGUGCGUAGUUUAAAAAAAAUAUCAAGCUGUGACCUUGACAAUAGGAGUUAACUCCUCACACACA
rnacentral:tRNA from 1 species